AUCACCGAAGUCAAGUAUCAUUGGGCGCAGCCAGUACUUGGGUGGGUCACCACCUGGGAACACCGCGUGCCGUU